GGAUGAAAGACGGUUCGGCUGUCACUUACAGAUGGACCCGCGGCGCAUUAGCUAGUUGGUGGGGUAAUGGCUCACCAAGGCGACGAUGCGUAGCCGACCUGAGAGGGUGAUCGGCCACACUGGGACUGAGACACGGCCCAGACUCCUACGGGAGGCAGCAGUAGGGAAUCUUCCGCAAUGGACGAAAGUCUGACGGAGCAACGCCGCGUGAGUGAUGAAGGUUUUCGGAUCGUAAAGCUCUGUUGUUAGGGAAGAACAAGUGCGAGAGUAACUGCUCGCACCUUGACGGUACCUAACCAGAAAGCCACGGCUAACUACGUGCCAGCAGCCGCGGUAAUACGUAGGUGGCAAGCGUUGUCCGGAAUUAUUGGGCGUAAAGGGCUCGCAGGCGGUUUCUUAAGUCUGAUGUGAAAGCCCCCGGCUCAACCGGGGAGGGUCAUUGGAAACUGGGAAACUUGAGUGCAGAAGAGGAGAGUGGAAUUCCACGUGUAGCGGUGAAAUGCGUAGAGAUGUGGAGGAACACCAGUGGCGAAGGCGACUCUCUGGUCUGUAACUGACGCUGAGGAGCGAAAGCGUGGGGAGCGAACAGGAUUAGAUACCCUGGUAGUCCACGCCGUAAGUCGAUGCGUGCUAAGUGUUAGGGGGUUUCCGCCCCUUAGUGCUGCAGCUAACGCAUUAAGCACUCCGCCUGGGGAGUACGGUCGCAAGACUGAAACUCAAAGGAAUUGACGGGGGCCCGCACAAGCGGUGGAGCAUGUGGUUUAAUUCGAAGCAACGCGAAGAACCUUACCAGGUCUUGACAUCCUCUGACAACCCUAGAGAUAGGGCUUUCCCUUCGGGGACAGAGUGACAGGUGGUGCAUGGUUGUCGUCAGCUCGUGUCGUGAGAUGUUGGGUUAAGUCCCGCAACGAGCGCAACCCUUGAUCUUAGUUGCCAGCAUUCAGUUGGGCACUCUAAGGUGACUGCCGGUGACAAACCGGAGGAAGGUGGGGAUGACGUCAAAUCAUCAUGCCCCUUAUGACCUGGGCUACACACGUGCUACAAUGGACAGAACAAAGGGCUGCAAGACCGCAAGGUUUAGCCAAUCCCAUAAAUCUGUUCUCAGUUCGGAUCGCAGUCUGCAACUCGACUGCGUGAAGCUGGAAUCGCUAG
rnacentral:rRNA from 1 species